UACGUAGGGGGCUAGCGUUGUCCGGAAUCAUUGGGCGUAGAGCGCGUGUAGGCGGUCCGGUAAGUCCGCUGUGAAAGUCGGGGGCUCAACCCUCGAAUGCCGGUGGAUACUGUCGGGCUAGAGUGCGGAAGAGGCGAGUGGAAUUCCUGGUGUAGCGGUGAAAUGCGCAGAUAUCAGGAGGAACACCUAUUGCGAAGGCAGCUCGCUGGGACGUUACUGACGCUGAGACGCGAAAGCGUGGGGAGCAAACAGG
rnacentral:rRNA from 1 species